rnacentral:misc_RNA from 1 species
AAGUCGUAACAAGGUUUCCGUAGGUGAACCUGCGGAAGGAUCAUUAUUGAAAUAAACCUGAUGGGUUGUUGCUGGCUCUCCAGGGAGCAUGUGCACACCUUGUCAUCUUUAUAUCUCCACCUGUGCACUUUUUGUAGACCUUCUCAGGUCUAUGUUGCUUCAUUUUACCCCAAUGUAUGUCAAUAGAAUGUUGUGCCUAUGUAAUAUAUACAACUUUCAGCAACGGAUCUCUUGGCUCUC